UUUAGAUGUAAAAUAGUUAAACUUGAGUAGUAUUAGUUAAUAUCUUGAAACUUAAAGAAUUUGGCGGUAUUUUAGUCUAUUUAGAGGAAUCUGUUUUGUAAUUGAUAAUCCGCGUUGGACCUUACUUAAAUUUAAUUAAUAUGUAUACCGCCGUUAAUUUAAAUCUUAUAAGAGUUAAUAAUUUUUUAAAUAUUUAUUUUAUAAUUUUUCAGGUCAAGGUGCAGUUUAUAUUUAAGUUGAAAUGGAUUACAUUUUUUGAAAAAAUAUGGAUUAUUUGGUUGAAAUUAUUAAUAUGAAGGUGGAUUUAAUAGUAAUUUUAUGAAGAUUGUUAUUGUGAUUUAAGCUCUAAAAUAUGU
rnacentral:rRNA from 1 species